rnacentral:rRNA from 1 species
AUUGAACGCUGGCGGCAGGCCUAACACAUGCAAGUCGAGCGGAUGAAGGGAGCUUGCUCCUGGAUUCAGCGGCGGACGGGUGAGUAAUGCCUAGGAAUCUGCCUGGUAGUGGGGGAUAACGUCCGGAAACGGGCGCUAAUACCGCAUACGUCCUGCGGGAGAAAGUGGGGGAUCUUCGGACCUCACGCUAUCAGAUGAGCCUAGGUCGGAUUAGCUAGUUGGUGGGGUAAAGGCCUACCAAGGCGACGAUCCGUAACUGGUCUGAGAGGAUGAUCAGUCACACUGGAACUGGGACACGGUCCAGACUCCUACGGGAGGCAGCAGUGGGGAAUAUUGGACAAAGGGCGAAAGCCUGAUCCAGCGAUGCCGCGUGUGUGAAGAAGGUCUUCGGAUUGUAAAGCACUUUAAGUGGGGAGGAAGGGCAGUAAGUUGAUACCUUGCUGUUGUGACGUUACCAACAGAAUAAGCACCGGCUAACUACGUG